UACGAAGGGGGCUAGCGUUGCUCGGAAUUACUGGGCGUAAAGCGCACGUAGGCGGCUUUCUAAGUCGGGGUGAAAUCCUGGAGCUCAACUCCAGAACUGCCUUCGAUACUGGCGAUCUUGAGUCCGGAAGAGGUGAGUGGAACUCCUAGUGUAGAGGUGGAAUUCGUAGAUAUUAGGAAGAACACCAGUGGCGAAGGGCGGCUAC
rnacentral:rRNA from 1 species